UACGGAGGGUGCAAGCGUUAUCCGGAUUUACUGGGUUUAAAGGGUGCGUAGGCGGGCCCUUAAGUCAGUGGUGAAAGCUCCGAGCUUAACUCGGAAACUGCCAUUGAUACUAUAGGUCUUGAAUUCGGUCGAGGUUGGCGGAAUGUGUCGUGUAGCGGUGAAAUGCUUAGAUAUGACACAGAACACCGGUGGCGAAGGCGGCAUCCUGGACCGACACUGACGCUGAGGAGCGAAAGCCAGGGGAGCAAACGGG
rnacentral:rRNA from 1 species